CGCGAGGGACAGAGACCCACGCGCCCGUCGCGCCGGCCACGCAUUCCUACGAGGCAACCACUGGGCCACCACCCCGAGUGGAUGGAUGGGCGGUGCAGUCAUGGCCCCCUAGCCCUCCAACAAAGUCAUUAGAGAAAAAGCCCUUCACGUCGUCGGGACGGCCGUCACAAUCUCGGCUGGCGACGCGAGGGCAGGGCCACCCUGUUCAGCCCGGCAUCUCCCUCGCCUGCUCGCCCGCCCCCUGGGCCAGGCAGGUGGUCGGGGGGACCCCGUCCCCGAGCGACGGCUGCCCCAUAACCAGUGUGAAGGGGAAGGCUCCGCCUCAGAGAACUUCCAGAAAGACCCCUUCAUUUGGAAGGUGCUGAGUCUAUGACGAUGUUUGGGAUUCAGGAAAUACUGCUCAACCCCCUGGCUGGAGAUGAGAACAUGGAGGGGUGCAACUGAAGAGAAGAAAGAAAAGAAGAGAGCAAAGUGCCUGGUCAUGCAGAAGGAGGGGUUCGACUGGUUGAGGCUGCUACAGGGCACCAGCAAUUGAGGGACAGGGCCCAGAGCAGGCGGGUGGCUCUUCUCUGUAGAGACCUUUGCUCUUGAUGGCCGAUCCCUGGAGCCUUGGCUACAGCUCUGCUCGCAGACCGAAGGAGUCUCGUGGGAAGAGCACUGAGCUGAGCGCCAAGCAAGUUCACGCGAAUCCUGACUCUGACACAAAUGAAAUGUGCUACCUCGGGCAAAUCUCUUACUUUCUGACAGCAGUUCCACACUUGAAAGGGCCUAUCGCCCACCCCAUUCCCCAGAGAUUUCAUCAACUUCUGCUGAGUAAGGAAAUUAAUCCAAAUAUUCACUAUCUCUUGUUCUCACCUGCAAAAGAAUGUGUUAGUCCUCUGAAACCUCCUGGCUACACAGUUUCUCUAGUGAUUAUGAAGUACCCCUCAUUUAUUUAAUUACAUAAAUGUAUUACUAUGUGUUGUAUGUAUAGUUGACAUUGAGGCAACAAGAAUAAGCAUGCUUGACAGAUAGCACCUGUGUAGUGGAGACUAUCUUAUCUAGUAG